GGUUCCUUGGCCUAGUUGGUUAGGGCUACCAGCUCAUAACUGGUUGAUCCCCGGUUCGAGUCCGGGAGGAGCCACCA
rnacentral:tRNA from 1 species